rnacentral:rRNA from 1 species
GACAGAGGGUGCAAACGUUGUUCGGAAUUACUGGGCGUAAAGCGCGUGUAGGCGGCUAAGUAAGUCGGGCGUGAAAUCCCACGGCUCAACCGUGGAAGUGCACUCGAAACUGCAUAGCUAGAGUCCUGGAGAGGAAGGUGGAAUGCUUGGUGUAGAGGUGAAAUUCGUAGAUAUCAAGCGGAACACCGGUGGCGAAGGCGGCCUUCUGGACGGUGACUGACGCUGAGACGCGAAAGCGUGGGGAGCAAACAGG